rnacentral:tRNA from 1 species
GGCCGUUUGGUGUAGUGGCUAUCACAUAUCUUUAACACCGAUAAGGUCCUGAGUUCGAUCCUCAGAAUGGUCA